rnacentral:lncRNA from 1 species
GGCUGCGCCGCUUACCCACACACAGACGGGCGGCAGAGGAAGAAAGCCUUGUCACACUGAAGGAGAGACAGCGGAUGUUCUGAACAGUCCUGUCAUGAAACGUUAGACAACGUGGACCAAACAGGCACAUUCCUAAGAAUCACACAUUACUGAAACUCAGUCAAGAAGAAAUAGAAAAUCUGAAUACAUCCAUGGCAAGCACAGAAACUGAACUAGGGAAUUCGAAAUCUUCCCACAAAGAAAAGCCUAGGCCCAACUGGCCUCUAUGAUACAGCAAGAAGGUGCCAUCUAUGAAGGAGAAGACAAGCCCUCACCAGACACCAAAUCUGCUGAUGCUUUGAUCUUGGACUUCCCAGCCUCCAGAACUG